UUACGGCCAUAUUAUGUUGAAACACCGCUUCCUGUAUGACCACCGAAGUUAAGCAACGUCGAGUCUGGCCAAUACUUAGAUGGGUGACCGCUUGGGAAUACCAG
rnacentral:rRNA from 1 species